GACGAACGCUGGCGGCGUGCCUAAUACAUGCAAGUCGAACGAGAGCGAUCGGUGCUUGCACUGGUCAAUCUAGUGGCGAACGGGUGAGUAACACGUGGGUAACCUGCCCAUCAGAGGGGGAUAACAUUCGGAAACGAAUGCUAAAACCGCAUAGGUCUUCGAACCGCAUGGUUUGAAGAGGAAAAGAGGCGCAAGCUUCUACUGAUGGAUGGACCCGCGGUGCAUUAGCUAGUUGGUGAGGUAACGGCUCACCAAGGCCGUGAUGCAUAGCCGACCUGAGAGGGUGAUCGGCCACAUUGGGACUGAGACACGGCCCAAACUCCUACGGGAGGCAGCAGUAGGGAAUCUUCCGCAAUGGACGCAAGUCUGACGGAGCAACGCCGCGUGAGUGAAGAAGGUUUUCGGAUCGUAAAACUCUGUUGUUAGAGAAGAACAAGUGCUAGAGUAAACUGUUAGAGCCCUUGGACCGGU
rnacentral:rRNA from 1 species